rnacentral:tRNA from 3 species
GGCGGCGUAGCCAAGUGGCUAAGGCGGCGGUCUGCAAAACCGCUAUUCACCGGUUCGACUCCGGUCGCCGCCUCCA